GACAGGUGCUGCAUGGCUGUCGUCAGCUCGUGUCGUGAGAUGUUGGGUUAAGUCCCGCAACGAGCGCAACCCUCGCCUUUAGUUGCCAGCAUUCAGUUGGGCACUCUAGAGGGACUGCCGGUGUCAAACCGGAGGAAGGUGGGGAUGACGUCAAGUCCUCAUGGCCUUUAUGUCUAGGGCUACACACGUACUACAAUGGCCGGUACAAAGGGCAGCCACUCAGCGAUGAGGCGCUAAUCCCAUAAAGCCGGUCUCAGUCCGGAUCGCAGUCUGCAACUCGACUGCGUGAAGUUGGAAUCGCUAGUAAUCGUAGAUCAGCAUGCUACGGUGAAUACGUUCCCGGGGCCUU
rnacentral:rRNA from 1 species